AUUGGAAUAUCUCAAUCGGUUAGAGUGUGUGGUUGUUAACCACAAUGUUGGAGUUUCAAUA
rnacentral:tRNA from 1 species